rnacentral:rRNA from 1 species
AUGAAUCACCACUCAGAGAUCAUAUGUUGGAACGUGCGUGGACUUAAUAACCCUGCAAAAUGGAAGGUUGUUAGAGACUUCAUAGCUACGAUUAAGGUGAACCUGGUGUGUCUGCAAGAGGCAAAACUAGAUGUAAUUGACUAGUUUAUGGUGUUGCAAUGCCUAGGUCCGUCCUUUGACGGCUUUUCUUACUUGCCGGCUGUGGAGACGCGAGGAGGAUCCUCCUUGGCUGGAACUCGACUAUCCUCACGGUAG